rnacentral:tRNA from 1 species
GCCCCCGUAGCUCAGCGGAUAGAGCGCUAGCCUCCGAAGCUAGAAGCACAGGUUCGAGUCCUGUCGGGGGUACCA